AUCACUUAACUGGCGACAGCGAUUGUGAGGCGUCCAAACACGAUCUUUGGUGCAUCUUACUCGAUAUAUAGACAGCAGAGUGCGUUUGAAUCGAUUUAUUCUCGUGAGAUUUGAGCUGUGAACGAGACAAGCCGAUAGCAGAACAAUGAUGCAACACAACCAAAUUAAACAAGCUUUCAUCUUGCUUUAUGCAGCUAGAAAGCUAAAGAGAUUCGCAAAUGAAACAGCCACUUCCAACCAUAAUAAUUCCCAUUCCCCGCCUGAAAAUUUCAAUUUUCCAUCGACUUAAGCCAGUUCGAAAUAGUAGUAGGCUUAGUCACUUGUCGGUUACAACAAAAAUCUAGAGGAGCUGCAAAAAGAUAGUCUUCGUGGCGUGCGUUUCAUACGAUUGAAAUUUUGAAAGUCAUUGUUACGGAUAAUUUCCUGGCAUUUAUUUCAUUUCGAAAGUGUAUCAAUUUGGACCAAAAAAGCAGCAACAAAAUGUUCAAACUCCUCAAGUAAUAAAUCUCCGGGACUGUCAGCUCAACGACACCGUGUGAGUGCCAGUGUGCGUAUCUGGUUGACCAACUUCAACGCCCACCCGUCGGUCUGGUCUGGUCUGGCUAUGGCCCGGCCUGGUCCGCCUGCUCCGGCCUGCUCUGACGGGGCUGACAUGACAAGCGUCUCGAAGCCAAGUGAAUGUAAGCCGCUAGUGCUAGGAUUAUUUACAUUUAUUUUGAAACUCUUUUAAUAAAGUGCGUCUCCAAUCACCGAGCAAUCCUCAGGA